UUUCACGAACGAAGCUGGCUCGUGACUUGGACACUCAACUUCUUCUUCUGGCUCCUCGGGUCCGACUUGCUGGACCUCCACCUCUUGGCUGCCCUCCUGGCCUUCGGGAUUCACUUGCAGAUCGAAGGAGGCGGCCACGUCCGAUGCACCUAUUGCAUGCUCGAGGAAUAAGAGGGUGUGCAUACAAAAGAAUGGAUGCUUGAUAACAUAAUGAUCUCACUGGACACUCAUUUACAGAGUACACAGUUAUAACAAGUCCACACAAGGUAGUAAGUUAAC
rnacentral:lncRNA from 1 species